AGAGUUUGAUCCUGGCUCAGGACAAACGCUGGCGGCGUGCGUAAAACAUGCAAGUCGAACGGCCGCUUCGGCGGCAGUGGCAGACGGCUGAGUAACGCGUAGGAACCUGCCCCGGGGUGGGGGACAACCUCCCGAAAGGGGGGCUAAUACCGCAUACGGUCCCGGCUUGCCGGGAAGAAAGCCCUUGGGUGCCCUGGGAGGGGCCUGCGUCCGAUUAGCUGGUUGGUGGGGUAAUGGCCUACCAAGGCACCGAUCGGUAGCUGGUCUGAGAGGAUGAUCAGCCAGACUGGGACUGGGACACGGCCCAGACUCCUACGGGAGGCAGCAGUUAGGAAUUUUGGGCAAUGGCCGCAAGGCUGACCCAGCAACGCCGCGUGGGGGACGAAGGCUCUCGGGUUGUAAACCCCUUUUCCCAGGGACGAUAGUGACGGUACCUGGGGAAUAAGCCCCGGCUAACUACGUGCCAGCAGCCGCGGUAAUACGUAGGGGGCAAGCGUUGUCCGGAUUCAUUGGGCGUAAAGCGCGGGCAGGCGGCCCGCUCAGUCGGCCGUGAAAGCGCCGGGCUCAACUCGGCGAGGUCGGGCGAUACUGGCGGGCUCGAGGCUGGUAGAGGGCGGUGGAAUUCCGGGUGUAGUGGUGGAAUGCGUAGAGCUCCGGAGGAACACCAGUGGCGAAGGCGGCCGCCUGGGCCAGUCCUGACGCUGAGCCGCGAAAGCGUGGGGAGCGAUCCGGAUUAGAUACCCUAGUAGUCC
rnacentral:rRNA from 1 species